rnacentral:misc_RNA from 1 species
GAACGCAUAUUGCACUCUCUGGUAAUCCGGAGAGUAUGCCUGUUUGAGGGUCAGUAAAUAAUAAUUAUCAUAAUCUUUUGAUUGUGGAAUUGGGCUUUUAUUUCAUUUUAAUGAUUUAUGGCCUUAAAUUUAUGUUACCGCUUGUUUAAUAUGAAAUUCGACCGAAUGGAGCAAUUAAACAUUCUCUCGUUAGGCGGAUUCAUCAAGCAAUUACGAUUUUUUGGCCGUCGAAGCACUUUUUUUUUUAUAAGUGCUUGGUCGAGAUUGUAAGAUACAUUUUUAAAAAUGACCUCAAAUCAGGCAAGAAUACCCGCUGAACUUAAG